rnacentral:rRNA from 1 species
AGAGUUUGAUCAUGGCUCAGAUUGAACGCUGGCGGCAUGCUUUACACAUGCAAGUCGAACGGCAGCACAGGGAGCUUGCUCCCGGGUGGCGAGUGGCGCACGGGUGAGUAAUACAUCGGAACGUGUCCUGUUGUGGGGGAUAACUGCUCGAAAGGGUGGCUAAUACCGCAUGACACCUGAGGGUGAAAGCGGGGGAUCGCAAGACCUCGCGCAAUUGGAGCGGCCGAUGCCCGAUUAGCUAGUUGGUGAGGUAAAGGCUCACCAAGGCGACGAUCGGUAGCUGGUCUGAGAGGACGACCAGCCACACUGGACUGAGACACGGCCCAGACUCCGUACGGGAGGCCGA